rnacentral:rRNA from 1 species
GGAAUAUUGGGCAAUGGGCGAAAGCCUGACCCAGCAACGCCGCGUGAAGGAAGAAGGCCUUCGGGUUGUAAACUUCUUUUAUGAGGGACGAAGGACGUGACGGUACCUCAUGAAUAAGCCACGGCUAACUACGUGCCAGCAGCCGCGGUAAUACGUAGGUGGCAAGCGUUGUCCGGAUUUACUGGGUGUAAAGGGCGCGUAGGCGGGGUGGCAAGUCAGAUGUGAAAUGCAGGGGCUCAACUCCUGAACUGCGUUUGAAUCUGUCGCUCUUGAGUAGCGGAGAGGCAAGCGGAAUUCCUAGUGUAGCGGUGAAAUGCGUAGAUAUUAGGAGGAACACCAGUGGCGAAGGCGGCUUGCUGGACGACAACUGACGCUGAGGCGCGAAAGCGUGGGGAGCAAACA